ensembl:misc_RNA Metazoa_SRP Metazoan signal recognition particle RNA
GCCAGGCGUGGUGGUGCACGCCUGUAAUCCCAGCUACUUGGGAGGCUGAGGCAUGAGAAUUGCUUGAACCCAGGAGGCAGAGGUUGCAGUGAGCCAAGAUUGCGCCACUGCACUCCAGCCUGGGCAACAGAGUGACACUUUGUCUCAA